AUCCCUUAGAUUCGUCUUAGGGUGAGAGUGGCGGACGGGUGAGUAUCGCGUAGAUGACCUGCCCCAGAGAGGGGGACAACCAUUGGAAACGAUGGCUAAUACCCCAGAUGUUAUCGUGUUUAGAAAACGAUGACUAAAGCUCCGGCGCUCUGGGAGGGGUCUGCGUCCCAUCAGCUAGUUGGUAAGGUAAUGGCUUACCAAGGCGAAGACGGGUAGGGGGCGUGAGAGCGUGACCCCCCACACUGGUACUGAAACACGGACCAGAUACCUACGGGUAGCAGCAGCAAGGAAUAUUGCGCAAUGGGCGAAAGCCUGACGCAGCAACGCCGCGUGGAGGAUGAAUGCCUUCGGGUUGUAAACUCCUUUUCUGAGGGAAGAGAAAGGACGGUACCUCAGGAAUAAGGCCCGGCUAACUACGUGCCAGCAGCCGCGGUAAAACGUAGGGGUCAAGCGUUAUCCGGAUUUACUGGGCGUAAAGAGCAUGUAGGCGGUUACUCAAGUCGGACAUGAAAGCUCCUGGCUCAACUGGGAGAGGUUGUUCGAAACUAGGUAACUUGAGGAUGGUAGAGGAGAGUGGAAUUCCCGGUGUAGUGGUGAAAUGCGUAGAUAUCGGGAGGAACACCAGUGGCGAAGGCGGCUCUCUGGGCCAUUCCUGACGCUGAGAUGCGAAAGCUAGGGGAGAGAACGGGAUUAGAAACCCCGGUAUUCCUAGCCGUAAACGAUGUCAACUAGGUGUAGGAGGUAUUAACCCCCUUCUGUGCUGUAGCUAACGCAUUAAGUUGACCGCCUGGGGGACUACGGCCGCAAGGCUAAAACUCAAAGGAAUUGACGGGGAC
rnacentral:rRNA from 1 species